rnacentral:rRNA from 1 species
CAGGCCUAACACAUGCAAGUCGAGCGGACCAUUCCUUCGGGGAUGGUUAGCGGCGGACGGGUGAGUAACACGUAGGCAACCUGCCUGUAAGAUCGGGAUAACUACCGGAAACGGUAGCUAAGACCGGAUAGCUGGUUUCUCCGCAUGGGGGAAUCAUGAAACACGGGGCAACCUGUGGCUUACGGAUGGGCCUGCGGCGCAUUAGCUAGUUGGUGGGGUAACGGCCCACCAAGGCGACGAUGCGUAGCCGACCUGAGAGGGUGAUCGGCCACACUGGGACUGAGACACGGCCCAGACUCCCACGGGAGGCAGCAGUAGGGAAUCUUCCGCAAUGGGCGCAAGCCUGACGGAGCAACGCCGCGUGAGUGAUGAAGGUUUUCGGAUCGUAAAGCUCUGUUGCCAAGGAAGAACGCCUCGGAGAGUAACUGCUCUGAGGGUGACGGUACUUGAGAAGAAAGCCCCGGCUAACUACGUGCCAGCAGCCGCGGUAAUACGUAGGGGGCAAGCGUUGUCCGGAAUUAUUGGGCGUAAAGCGCGCGCAGGCGGUCUUUUAAGUUUGGUGUUUAAGCCCGGGGCUCAACCCCGGUUCGCACUGAAAACUGGGAGACUUGAGUGCAGGAGAGGAAAGCGGAAUUCCACGUGUAGCGGUGAAAUGCGUAGAGAUGUGGAGGAACACCAGUGGCGAAGGCGGCUUUCUGGACUGUAACUGACGCUGAGGCGCGAAAGCGUGGGGAGCAAACAGGAUUAGAU